rnacentral:rRNA from 1 species
UACAGAGGGUGCGAGCGUUGUCCGGAAUCACUGGGCGUAAAGGGCGCGUAGGUGGCGACCCAAGUCGAUGGUGAAAGCUCGCCGCUCAACGGCGAGUCGGCCACCGAUACUGGGUUGCUGGAGCACUGUAGAGGCAGAUGGAAUUCCGGGUGUAGCGGUGGAAUGGCGUAGAGAUCCGGAAGAACACCGGUGGCGAAGGCGGUCUGCUGGGCAGUUGC